GUUUCCGUGGUGUAGUGGUAAAAAAAAAAGUGUAGUGGUUAUCACGUGUGCUUCACACGCACAAGGUCCUCGGUUCGAUCCCGAGCGGAAACA